GCCGAUAGUUUAGCCUCAUCCAGCUCACAUUACUUCUAACUCGAUCGAUGGACUGUUGAGUGGAACGUGUCAUGGCGUUGACCAGCAGUUCCUUGUUCUUUCCGACGAAAUCCGACAGCUAAAAAUUCAGCCAUAAUCGUCAGACGUGGGCCAAACUGUGGAUCGAGUUGAAACUACACGGAGAGAG